CAAAUAUAUAGAGAAAUAUUAAUCAAAAUUUAAAAUAUAUUUCGAUUAGUUUGAGCGAACUCUAAGGCUUGUCUACAGUGAGGCACAGCUGACUUAUGUUAUAUAUCAAUAGCAAAGUCUUUCCCUCCUUAUCAUUGACGUUAUGGAUUUCGGGAACGCAUCGAAUACAAGCCAGUUAGCCUCUAUGAACUGUUAACGCAUUUUCCAUGUUAUUUUCUACAACAAACAGCGAAGAGAUGAGCACAAUGAGCACCAGCAGCAGUGAAAAAACCGCUAUCAUCGCUGAGGUGGCCAGUGAUUGGCUACUGUAUAAGCUGGCAUCCAGUAUCUGCAAGAGAGGUGAAAAGAGAAGAAAAGCAUGAGUUGAAAUUACUUUGCAGUGAGUGAAAAGUAAAAGUAAGAGCUUUUGUACUUUUAAAAAAAGUUUAAGACAAUGCAAAUCACGACGCAACUCAAACACAAAACCAUUUUGCAUGCGAACAAGAAGAGCAAGAGCAAGCGAAACAGACAGCAGCAACAAAAUUUCGAAUUUUUGAAGAUGCCGACAAUCGAGGCAGAGUGAAAGAGGAGGAGAGGAAGCUACAAGUUUGCGCCAAUCAACAAAAUUAAGGUCAAAACCUGUGAAAAUUGCCUAUGCAGAACGAAGAGCAGUACAGAAUGUAAGAAAAU